rnacentral:misc_RNA from 1 species
CCAAACUUGGUCAUUUAGAGGAAGUAAAAGUCGUAACAAGGUUUCCGUAGGUGAACCUGCGGAAGGAUCAUUACUGAGUAACGUGGUCUUUUUUCAUGACCCGCUACCCGCCCUUUGUCAUAUGUUGGACGAGGUCGUCUUUAGGGGCGGCCUCCGACCCCACUUCCCGGGAGGCGUUGCGCCUCAUCAAAGUCUAGGCCUUGAUGAGGAUGGGACCGCCCGGGGUCUUUUUCAAACCCUUUGUGAGAAAUCUGAAGUCUGAAGCGAAAGCUUAAAAAUAAAUUGAAGCAAAACUUUCAACAACGGAUCUCUUGGCUCUGGCAUCGAUGAAGAACGCAGC